GGGAGGCCAGUUCAGCAGGAAGGAACACUGCGGAGGUGCACUGAAGCAGAGAGGUGGGUUCGACUCCCAUGUCUCCCA
rnacentral:tRNA from 1 species